UACGGAGGGUGCAAGCGUUAUCCGGAUUCACUGGGUUUAAAGGGUGCGUAGGAGGGCGGAUAAGUCAGUGGUGAAAUCUUCGAGCUUAACUCGGAAACUGCCGUUGAUACUAUUUGUCUUGAAUAUCGUGGAGGUGAGCGGAAUAUGUCAUGUAGCGGUGAAAUGCUUAGAUAUGACAUAGAACACCAAUUGCGAAGGCAGCUCGCUACACGAAUAUUGACUCUGAGGCACGAAAGCGUGGGGAUCAAACAGG
rnacentral:rRNA from 3 species